GGCGUGCGUUAACUACAAUGUCAAGUCGAACGGACCCGAUAUUGAAACUGGUGAUAUAUGGGUUAGGUGGCGGACGGGUGAGGUAACGCGUGGGCAACCUGCCUUACACAGGGGAGUAACAACUUAGAAUAAGGUGCUAAAACCGACAUAAGCGCACAGCUUCGCAUGAAGCGGUGUGAAAAACUCCGGUGGUGUAAGAUGGACCCGCGUCUGAUUAGCUUGUUGGCGGGGUAACGGCCCACCAAGGCGACGAUCAGUAGCCGGCCUGAGAGGGCGGACGGCCGACAUUGGGACUGAGACACGGCCCAGACUCCUACGGGAGGCAGCAGUGGGGAAUAUUGCACAAUGGGGGAAACCCUGAUGCAGCGACGCCGCGUGAGUGAAGAAGUAAUUCGUUACGUAAAGCUCUAUCAGCAGGGAAGAAAAUGACGGUACCUGAGUAAGAAGCCCCGGCUAACUACGUG
rnacentral:rRNA from 1 species